UACGCAGGCGGCUUGGUAAGACAGGCGUGAAAUCCCCGGGCCUAACCUGGGAACUGCGCUUGUGACUGCCGGGCUAGAGUCUGUCAGAGGGGGGUGGAAUUCCACGUGUAGCAGUGAAAUGCGUAGAGAUGUGGAGGAACACCGAUGGCGAAGGCAGCCCCCUGGGAUAAGACUGACGCUCAUGUACGAAAGCGUGGGGAGCAAACAGGAUUAGAUACCCUGGUAGUCCACGCCCUAAACGAUGUCGACUAGUUGUCGGGGAUUAACUUCCUCGGUAACGCAGCUAACGCGUGAAGUCGACCGCCUGGGGAGUACGGUCGCAAGAUUAAA
rnacentral:rRNA from 1 species